UUUCCGUAGGUGAACCUGCGGAAGGAUCAUUAUUGGAUUUUGGAACUUCAGGCUGCUGCUGGCUCUCCUCGGAGGGCAUGUGCACGCUUGUUGUCCAUUAUUUCUCCCACUGUGCACAAAUUGUAGACCUUUCAGUAGGCCUAUGUUGUUUUUCACAAUCUCUGAAUGUAAUAGAAUGGUUUUGAAUCUUGGGAAAUACAAUACAACUUUCAGCAACGGAUCUCUUGGCUCUC
rnacentral:misc_RNA from 1 species